rnacentral:rRNA from 1 species
UACAGAGGUCCCAAGCGUUGUUCGGAUUCACUGGGCGUAAAGGGCGCGUAGGUGGCCUUGUUAGUCAGACGUGAAACCCCCAAGCUUAACUUGGGAACUGCGUCUGAUACUGCAAGGCUUGAGUUCGGGAGAGGGAUGUGGAAUUCCAGGUGUAGCGGUGAAAUGCGUAGAUAUCUGGAGGAAUACCGGUGGCGAAGGCGGCAUCCUGGACCGGCAUUGACGCUGAGGAGCGAAAGCUAGGGGAGCAAACGGG